UUCAUACAGUGAUUGCUACUGAAGCUUAUUUCAGAUAAUAUCAAUGGCUUUAGAUAGAUGAUAUGAGCAUAAAGACUAUCAGUCCUACUAUGAGCUUAAACCAGAUUGGAUGGUAGACCUUUACAUGGAGCAAUGAAACUUCCGGACAAGUUACAACUUACGGAGCUCUGUAAACAGAAAAUCAUAUGAAGACCAAUGAAUCGCAUGCGCUAGAUAGUGAACGAUGACUUUAGGGUUUUACAUCAACUUGAAUGACGAACCUCGCCACCUUGUCUUGUACUUCUGCCACCGGCUAAAGGAACGGAACUCUGAAUUGAAUGUUGCAACUCAGGAAGUGGUAAAGACCCAGUCUGGGAAAAAAUCAACCCAACUGAAUUGCUUGAUGUAUUUCCAGAAGAAGGAAUUCUGCUCAAAUAAGGAUCCUUUUUGGUCACUCCAAUAAGUUCAGGUCGCAAUUCAGCAGAAGACGAUGAAGGGACCAAAGUAGCAAGCAAAGACCCAACUGGAUACGGAGAAACUGGCAUAUCAAUAAGAGAUGAUGUUGAUGGACUAUAUCUCACUGUUGCCAUUGGGUGAUCAAAUUUGCACGUGGCCCCAAAUUUGCAGUUCCCAUUUUGCAAGUAGAAGGCACAAGGUUGCACUCCUGGACGUAAAGGAAGGCCAAGUGGGCUUAGGACACAAUUUGUUCUUGGCACAACCCGAUCCCGAGGAUGAUGAUAUCUACAAGAUGAUCCAAAUUUACAGUCUCCAGUCCUCAAAUAGUACUGGCACUCAGGUUCGCCAGGUCUCUCUGGAAAAGCUUGUUCCUUAGUACCACUUGAAAGGCCAGCAACAGAAGAGGGCGAUGCGUAAGGUCCGGCAAGUGCAGGUGCUGAAGAAGAUAAUUGUGUUACACCAUACAGAGAAGUUGCCCCAACUGCAGGCUGUGCACCAGGAGACAGAACAGGACUUACAGGUGCCGAAUAAGGACUCCAACCCGGAAUAGGAACCACUCCAGGGGAAAACAACACAGGACCAUAAGCCCCUUGCACAUAUG
rnacentral:misc_RNA from 1 species